AGUGAACGCUGGCGGUAGGCCUAACACAUGCAAGUCGAACGGCAGCACAGUAAGAGCUUGCUCUUACGGGUGGCGAGUGGCGGACGGGUGAGGAAUACAUCGGAAUCUACUUUUUCGUGGGGGAUAACGUAGGGAAACUUACGCUAAUACCGCAUACGACCUACGGGUGAAAGCAGGGGAUCUUCGGACCUUGCGCGAUUGAAUGAGCCGAUGUCGGAUUAGCUAGUUGGCGGGGUAAAGGCCCACCAAGGCGACGAUCCGUAGCUGGUCUGAGAGGAUGAUCAGCCACACUGGAACUGAGACACGGUCCAGACGCCUGCGGGAGGCAGCAGUGGGGAAUAUUGGACAAUGGGCGCAAGCCUGAUCCAGCCAUACCGCGUGGGUGAAGAAGGCCUUCGGGUUGUAAAGCCCUUUUGUUGGGAAAGAAAAGCAGCAGGUUAAUACCCCGCUGUUCUGACGGUACCCAAAGAAUAAGCACCGGCUAACUUCGUG
rnacentral:rRNA from 1 species